rnacentral:rRNA from 1 species
CUAAGAAUAUUGCACAAUGGACGAAAGUCUGAUGCAGCGACACCGCGUGAGGGAUGAAGGUUUUAGGAUUGUAAACCUCUUUUAUUAGGGAAUAGCAAGGAAGGUACCUAAUGAAUAAGCUACGGCUAACUACGUGCCAGCAGCCGCGGUAAUACGUAGGUAGCGAACGUUGUCCGGAAUCACUGGGCGUAAAGGGUCCGUAGGCGGUUUGAUAAGUCUCAUAUGAAAACUUCAAGCUCAACUUGGAGAGGUUGUGAGAUACUGUCAAACUAGAGACUGUUAGAGGUAAGUGGAAUUCCAGGUGUAGUGGUGAAAUGCGUAGAUAUCUGGAGGAACACCAGUGGCGAAAGCGACUUACUGGGACAGUUCUGACGCUAAGGGACGAAAGCGUGGGGAGCGAACCGG